AUUGAACGCUGGCGGCAGGCCUAACACAUGCAAGUCGAGCGAGCGGCGGACGGGUGAGUAAUGUAUGGGGACUGCCCGAUAGAGGGGGAUAACUACUGGAAACGGUGGCUAAUACCGCAUACUAUCGGAUAACCCAUAUGGGAUUAGCCAGUAGGUGGGGUAAAGGCCCACCUAGGCGACGAUCUCUAGCUGGUGUGAGAGGAUGAUCGGCAACACUGGGCCUAGAACAGGGCCCAGACUCCAACGGAGGCGGCAGGGGGGAAUGUUGCACAAUGGGGGCAAGCCUGAUGCGGCCAUGCCGCGUGUAGGAGGAAGGCCUUAGGGUUGUAAAGUACUUUCGGCGGGGGGGCGUUACCCGCAGAAGAAGCACCGGCUAACUCCGUGCCAGCAGCCGCGGUAAUUC
rnacentral:rRNA from 1 species